rnacentral:lncRNA from 1 species
UUGUUCUUGUGGUAGUGAGUAAGUCUCACAAGAUCUGAUGGUUUUGUCAGGGUGUCCGCUUUUUCGUCUUCCUAUUCUCUCUUUGCCUGCUGCCAUCCAUGUAAGAUGGGACUUGCUCCUUCUUGCCUUCCUUCAUGAUUAUGAGGCUUCCCCAGCCACAUGGAACUAUACUUUUGCCUUAUUGGAAGAAGUUUCAUAAUAAUUGCUGGCUCUCACCUAUGGCAACUCAGUUAUUUCCUUCAGAUUUUGACCUCAAGAAAUCCCAGGUAAACAUAUGACUAGUCUGACAUGGCUUUCUUAACCCCGUAUGUAGUCCAUUAGAGAUAUUAUUUCCAUCUCGGAUUUUAAUUGUCAUGCAAGGACCAAACAGAUCAAAUAAAAAAUAUUAAAUAAAAAGCAUAUGCAAAAUGUAUAGCAUAAUAACAAUAGAAUUUUGGUUGACUUCUUCAUAGAAAUUAACAUAUGCAAAUUGUAGGAAACUGCAGGAUAAAUUAUGUGGUUCUUCAACAGAUAUUUUGUUUGCUGGAGGUGGGGCAACAAUGACAGCAGAACCUGAGGAUUUAAAAACUAUUUAAAAUAUUAG